CACAACGCGAAAACAGUUUGAUAAACUCGUCUUUUACAUGCAAAAAAACAAACAAGUUGCCGAAGGCGCAAAAUUUGCUUCUUCUAAACAAAAUUACAAAGAUACAUGGGAUAAAAUAGCGUCGAAACUAAACAGCCUGGGUCCGCCAAUAAGAAGCACGAAGGAAUGGCAAAAGGUUUGGACAGAUUUGAAGUUGGGUACAAAAAAGAAACUGGCCCAUAAUAAAAAAGAAGCCCGUGCCACAGGUGGUGGUCCCAAUAAAAUGCUCCACCUUUCACCCCUGGAAUAAUCUGUUUCGGAGAUGCUAUCGUUAAGGCGAACUGUAGACCACACAGGUCCAGUCUUUGGAAUGCCAGAAAUAGACGAAGAAAAGAAAUCCGAUGAAGAAAACGAAGAAACCGAGCCGGUUGAGCCUUUGCAGAACGAAUCUGAUAUUGACGAUUAUUUGGAGCAAAAUUACCCGACAGACUUUGAAAAUCCAGUUGACGAGAUAGAGGCAGUUGAAAAUGUAGUUGAC